UAGGUCUUUCUCUUCUCAGACA
rnacentral:tRNA from 1 species